AUGGGAUCCCACAGAACCCCAUAGAACCCGAUGGGACCCCACAGAACCCCACAGAACUCUAUAGGACCCCAUAGAACCCGAUGGGACCCCACAGAACCCCAUAGACCUCUAUAGGACCCCAGAGAAUCCCAUAGAACUUUAUGGGACCCCACAGAACCCCAUAGAACUCUAUAGGAACCCACAAAAGCCACAAAACUCUAUAGGACCCCAAUGGAACCGCAGAACCCUACAGGAUCCCACAGAACCCCACAGAACCCUAUAGGAUCCCAUAGGACCCCCAUAACCCCACAGAACCCCCCAGAACCCUAUAGGAUCCCAUAGGACCCCCAGAACCCCCCAGGACCCCAUAGAACCCCACAGGACCCAGAGAACCCCAUAAAACCCCACAGAACCCCCCAAACCCCACAGAACCCCAUAGGGUUCUGUGGGGUUCCGGAGGUCCUAUGGGAUCCUAUAGGAUUCACGGGGGUUCUAUGGGGAUCUAUGGGGUUCUGUGGGCUUCUAUGGGGUCCUAUGGGAUCCUAUAGGGUUCUGUGGGGUACGAUAGGGUUCUAUGGGGUCCUAUGGGAUCCUAUAGGGUUCUAUGGGGUUCUGUGGGGUGCUAUAGGGUUCUGUGGGGUCCUAUGGGGUUCUGUGGGGUUCUAUGGGGGUUCUGUGGGGUUCUAUGGGAUCCUAUGGGGGUCUAUGGGGUUCUGUGGGAGUCUAUGGGGUUCUGUGGGAUCCUAUAGGGUUCUGUGGGGGUCCUAUGGGGGUCUAUGGGGUCCUAUGGGGGCCCUAUAGGGGUCUAUGGGGUUCUGCGGGAUCCUAUAGAGGUCAAUGGGGUUCUGUGGGAUCCUAUAGGGGUCUAUGGGUUCCUCUGGGUGUCCUAUAGCGAUCAAUGGGAUUCGACGGCGUUUUGGGACCCCCCCCGAAAUCCCCCCCGCCCCAAAAAGGGACCCCAAAACGGCCCCAAAUCCCAAAACCCCCCCAAAAAAGCCCCAAAUUCCCCCCCUACAUUCCCUCCCC
rnacentral:lncRNA from 1 species